AUGGGAUGACUCACAGUCCAGAGUUCCCAUUUCUCACUCAGAGAAUCUGGGUGACAGCUCAGAAUAAACACAGAACUCCCAGAUGGCUAUGGGUAGGUGAGAGCAAUUAAACACGAAGAUGAUACUGUCAUCUGUCACAAACAUGAAGACUUACUCCAACAACCAGCAGUGCAGAUCCUAUCAUUUUAUGUGUGAAGUUGGAUUUGUUUUCUUCCAGAAUAUUCAAUUUCCCUAAUGGAGAAGCUAAAGAUCACAUUUACAGAAAAAAGUACCAGCCCUCAUUUAGAUCCAACUGAAAUUUGACAGAACAGGAGUGUCUUAAUUUCUAUAAUGAUUUCUCAUGAUAAACUUUUUAUAAUCUUCGUAUUGUACAAAGAGAUCCUUAAGAAAAGUUAGUACUUCUCUCUUAUGAUAAACUGAUGAUAUUCUGGCUGUGAUUUUUUUCGUUAGAAAUAUUAUUUGUGAGUAGUUGAGCUCCAGCAACUUGUAGUUUUGAGUGGAACUAAUCUUCAAUCAAAUACAACCAAGUACCUAAUGUAUAUGUUAUUUUACCAAAAUUCACUCUCUUAUUUUUAUUAAUUGUAUUUGUUUCUAAAUGCCA